rnacentral:rRNA from 1 species
GACGAACGCUGGCGGCGUGCUUAACACAUGCAAGUCGAACGGAAAGGCCCUGCUCUUGUGGGGUGCUCGAGUGGCGCACGGGUGAGUAACACGUGAGUAACCUGCCCUUGACUUUGGGAUAACUUCAGGAAACUGGGGCUAAUACCGGAUAGGAGCUCCUGCUGCAUGGUGGGGGUUGGAAAGUUUCGGCGGUUGGGGAUGGACUCGCGGCUUAUCAGCUUGUUGGUGGGGUAGUGGCUUACCAAGGCUUUGACGGGUAGCCGGCCUGAGAGGGUGACCGGCCACAUUGGGACUGAGAUACGGCCCAGACUCCUACGGGAGGCAGCAGUGGGGAAUAUUGCACAAUGGGCCGAAGCCUGAUGCAGCAACGCCGCGUGCGGGAUGACGGCCUUCGGGUUGUAAACCGCUGUCGCCUGUGACGAAGCGUGAGUGACGGUAAUGGGUAAAGAAGCACCGGCUAACUACGUG